GGGGAAUUUUCCGCAAUGGGCGAAAGCCUGACGGAGCAAUACCGCGUGAGGGAGGAAGGCUCUUGGGUCGUAAACCUCUUUUCUCAGGGAAGAACACAAUGACGGUACCUGAGGAAUAAGCAUCGGCUAACUCCGUGCCAGCAGCCGCGGUAAUACGGAGGAUGCAAGCGUUAUCCGGAAUGAUUGGGCGUAAAGCGUCCGCAGGUGGCGAUGUAAGUCUGCUGUUAAAGAGUCUAGCUCAACUAGAUAAGAGCAGUGGAAACUACAUUGCUAGAGUACGUUCGGGGCAGAGGGAAUUCCUGGUGUAGCGGUGAAAUGCGUAGAGAUCAGGAAGAACACCGGUGGCGAAGGCGCUCUGCUAGGCCGUAACUGACACUGAGGGACGAAAGCUAGGGGAGCGAAUGGGAUUAGAUACCCCAGUAGUCCUAGCCGUAAACGAUGGAUACUAGGCGUGGCUUGUAUCGACCCGAGCCGUGCCGUAGCUAACGCGUUAAGUAUCCCGCCUGGGGAGUACGCCGGCAACGGUGAAACUCAAAGGAAUUGACGGGGGCCCGCACAAGCGGUGGAGUAUGUGGUUUAAUUCGAUGCAACGCGAAGAACCUUACCAAGGCUUGACAUGUCGCGAAUCCGAGUGAAAGCUUGGAGUGCCUUCGGGAGCGCGAACACAGGUGGUGCAUGGCUGUCGUCAGCUCGUGUCGUGAGAUGUUGGGUUAAGUCCCGCAACGAGCGCAACCCUCGUUUUUAGUUGCCAGCAUUAAGUUGGGCACUCUAGAGAGACUGCCGGUGACAAACCGGAGGAAGGUGGGGAUGACGUCAAGUCAGCAUGCCCCUUACGCCUUGGGCUACACACGUACUACAAUGCUCCGGACAGAGGGCAGCAAGCAUGCGAAUGCAAGCAAAUCCCGUAAACCGGAGCUCAGUUCAGAUCGCAGGCUGCAACUCGCCUGCGUGAAGGAGGAAUCGCUAGUAAUUGCAGGUCAGCAUACUGCAGUGAAUUCGUUCCCGGGCCUUGUACACACCGCCCGUCACACCAUGGAAGCUGGUAGUGCCCGAAGUCAUUACUCCAACCCUUAGGGGAGGAGGAUGCCUAAGGCAGGACUGGUGACUGGGGUGAAGUCGUAACAAGGUAGCCGUACCGGAAGGUGUGGCUGGAUCACCUCCUU
rnacentral:rRNA from 1 species